rnacentral:ncRNA from 2 species
CGUGAACCUGCGGAAGGAUCAUUA